CCUACGGGAGGCAGCAGUGAGGAAUAUUGGUCAAUGGGCGCGAGCCUGAACCAGCCAAGUAGCGUGAAGGAUGACUGCCCUACGGGUUGUAAACUUCUUUUAUAAAGAAAUAAAGUGAUGCACGUGUGCGUUUUUGUUUGUACUUUAUGAAUAAGGAACGGCUAACUCCGUGCCAGCAGCCGCGGUAAUACGGAGGAUCCGAGCGUUAUCCGGAGUUAUUGGGUUUAAAGGGAGCGUAGAUGGGUUGUUAAGUCCGUUGUGAAAGUUUGCGGCUCAACCGUAAAAGUGCAAUUGAUACUGGCAGCCUUGAGUACAGUUGAGGUAGGCGGAAUUCGUGGUGUAGCGGUGAAAUGCUUAGAUAUCACGAAGAACUCCGAUUGCGAAGGCAGCUCACUAAACUGCCACUGACACUGAGGCUCGAAAGUGUGGGUAUCAAACAGGAUUAGAUACCCCUGUAGUC
rnacentral:rRNA from 1 species